GAUGAACGCUGGCGGCGUGCCUAAUACAUGCAAGUCGAGCGAACGGACGAUAAGCUUGUUUCUCUGAUGUUAGCCGAGGACGGGUGAGUAACACGUGUAUACCCUACCUAUAAGACUGGUAUAACUUCGGGAAACCGGAUCUAAUACCGUAUAAUAUUCUGCACCGCAGGGUUCAAAAGUGAAAUACGGCGUUGCUGUCACUUAUAGCUGCAUCCGCGCUGCAUUAGGUAGUUGUUAAGGUAACGGCCUACCACGGCAACGAUGCAUAGGCGAGGUGAGAGGGGGAUCGGCGACACGGGAGCUGGAACACGGUCAAGAGGCCUGAGGGAGGGAGCAGUAGGGAAUGUUACGCAGUGGGGGAGAGCAUGGCGGAGCGACGCCGAGUGAGUGAUGACAGUCUUCGGAUCGUAAAACUCUGUUAUUAGGGAAAAACAUCUGUGUAAGUAACUGUGCAGAGCUUGACGGUACCUAAUCAGAAAGCAACGGCUAACUACGUG
rnacentral:rRNA from 1 species